rnacentral:rRNA from 1 species
GAUGAACGCUGGCGGCGUGCCUAAUACAUGCAAGUCGAGCGAACGGACGAGAAGCUUGCUUUUCUGAUGUUAGCGGCGGACGGGUGAGUAACACGUGGAUAACCUACCUAUAAGACUGGGAUAACUUCGGGAAACCGGAGCUAAUACCGGAUAAUAUUUUGAACCGCAUGGUUCAAAAGUGAAAGACGGUCUUGCUGUCACUUAUAGAUGGAUCCGCGCUGCAUUAGCUAGUUGGUAAGGUAACGGCUUACCAAGGCAACGAUGCAUAGCCGACCUGAGAGGGUGAUCGGCCACACUGGAACUGAGACACGGUCCAGACUCCUACGGGAGGCAGCAGUAGGGAAUCUUCCGCAAUGGGCGAAAGCCUGACGGAGCAACGCCGCGUGAGUGAUGAAGGUCUUCGGAUCGUAAAACUCUGUUAUUAGGGAAGAACAUAUGUGUAAGUAACUGUGCACAUCUUGACGGUACCUAAUCAGAAAGCCACGGCUAACUACGUGCCAGCAGCCGCGGUAAUACGUAGGUGGCAAGCGUUAUCCGGAAUUAUUGGGCGUNAAAGCGCGCGUAGGCGGUUUUUUAAGUCUGAUGUGAAAGCCCACGGCUCAACCGUGGAGGGUCAUUGGAAACUGGAAAACUUGAGUGCAGAAGAGGAAAGUGGAAUUCCAUGUGUAGCGGUGAAAUGCGCAGAGAUAUGGAGGAACACCAGUGGCGAAGGCGACUUUCUGGUCUGUAACUGACGCUGAUGUGCGAAAGCGUGGGGAUCAAACAGGAUUAGAUACCCUGGUAGUCCACGCCGUAAACGAUGAGUGCUAAGUGUUAGGGGGUUUCCGCCCCUUAGUGCUGCAGCUAACGCAUUAAGCACUCCGCCUGGGGAGUACGACCGCAAGGUUGAAACUCAAAGGAAUUGACGGGGACCCGCACAAGCGGUGGAGCAUGUGGUUUAAUUCGAAGCAACGCGAAGAACCUUACCAAAUCUUGACAUCCUUUGACAACUCUAGAGAUAGAGCCUUCCCCUUCGGGGGACAAAGUGACAGGUGGUGCAUGGUUGUCGUCAGCUCGUGUCGUGAGAUGUUGGGUUAAGUCCCGCAACGAGCGCAACCCUUAAGCUUAGUUGCCAUCAUUAAGUUGGGCACUCUAAGUUGACUGCCGGUGACAAACCGGAGGAAGGUGGGGAUGACGUCAAAUCAUCAUGCCCCUUAUGAUUUGGGCUACACACGUGCUACAAUGGACAAUACAAAGGGCAGCGAAACCGCGAGGUCAAGCAAAUCCCAUAAAGUUGUUCUCAGUUCGGAUUGUAGUCUGCAACUCGACUACAUGAAGCUGGAAUCGCUAGUAAUCGUAGAUCAGCAUGCUACGGUGAAUACGUUCCCGGGUCU